UUUCCCCAUGCACUCGCUGGCUUCGCUUAGCAGCCUGCCACCCUUCCUUCCGUGUUAUCAGAGGAGCUGAUGUCUUCAUUGUGUCUGCGCCAGCUGCUCUUGCCUAUGGAGGCUCUUCAUUUCCUAUCUUGGAGCCACAGGACGCUGAUGGAUUAUUCAGACUGACUUCCGAUGCAUCCUUAAAGCUGAAGAAAAGAAGGGGAAAGCCAACAUCACACUAAGCUUGAGCAGAACCUUACCUCCUUCAGAAGUCAAGAUGGAUACGUCAGAAUGCAACUGUUAAGCUAUUUCAUCUUUCCAGAAUCUCAGCCCUCUAGUCUUCCCCCUGCUAUACCUGACAGCUGUCUGUUCAUUUGAAAUGCAUGGAGAAUUCUUUACAUCACAUUUCCCUAAGUUUGUGGGCUCUGUUUCUGCCCGGGCCGGAAGGACAUACUGCCAAGCAAAGAGGAGUCUACCCACUCAUUCAUGCAGAUAGCUUAAAAAUAAACUCAAAUAAGCCAGUCUAUAGGCCUCACUUUAAAUUCCAGAAUGGUAUUUGGCAGUGGAAAAAACAAUAAAAGAAUUGCAGUGUUAUCCUUGCUGCUUGGCAGUAAGCCUUAGCACCACCUCACCACCUGGGAAAUGGAGGAGGGUCAGCAGAGCCCCUUGAAAGAGGUAAAAUGAUUGACAGAGAUAUGAAGAACUGCUUCCAAGUUCCCAUAGCCUUGGCUUCUCCAAGAUGAUGAACUAUAACCCGUGAGCCAAAUAGUCCCUUGCUCCCACAAGUUCUACCAUCAGAGCAAUAAGAAACGAAGCCAAGGCAAUGUCCACAUACAACAUUUGAGCAGCAGACAUCUCUCAGAUGACUCCUCCACCCAAGACAAAUGUGAUCUCAGAUGACCUGGCCCUAGAAACUCACCGUACAGAAAUACUUCCCCCUACAACCUGAUCGAGAGCUGAAGAUGUAAACCAAGUCCAAAUGGGAACUUCAGGUAUGGAUAAGGACUCACCAAAGGUGACAAAAAGCUGGUGAUGGAGGGCAAUCUAGACUAUCAGUACAUCAGCUAAGAUAAUACAUCAGCUAAGGGGGCAGACACAGGAUGGCUCUAAAGAGCCUGACUCAGAACACAUGGAAAAGGUGAUUUAUAAGGGAGAGAAAAACACUAGUGUCUCUAGAUAGGACAGCAUGCUUCUGAAGAAAGGAACAAGACAGAGGGUCAUGUUGUGUGUAAACCAUCCAUACCUCACAUGAAUGAAGGGUUUACACACUGGGGCUUUCAAAGAAGCAAUUUCUGUUGACUUCAGCUACAUCUCCCUGAGCCUGCUGGACUGGUGUUAUUCUAAUGAGGAUAAUAUCAACUGCUGUCUUUUGAAGACCCUAGAACCCUGAGCUAUUCUAGAAAGCUGGCCUAGGAAAUGGCUUGGAACUCAAAGUCACUCCCAGUAAUAGUGUAAGUCCUGCCCUUAUCUUCCUUUACUCCUCUGUAAUCUAUGAAUAGUCUUUAAAAGCCAGAAGAUGAACAGCAAGUCAAAACUGUCACUCAUCCCAUGGUGGAGUAAUGUCUUGAGCAUCAGCACCUUGAACCUGAGGAUCCCUUCUCACUGUUCUUCAAGACACAAUUCUACCCCAGUUGCAGACAGUCUCUUCUAAUCGUGGUCCAUAGGUGAGUUGAUUUUAUUCCCUGUCUUCUAACUCCUGCUCUCCAUAUGUAGUGAUAGGAGCGGCGAGGCUGCGUCCCUGGCACCUGGCCACCCGCAUGGCUAGCUUAUGUCCGAAAUAAUUACACGGAAACUGUAUUCUUUUAAACACUGCCUGGCCCGUUAUCUGUAGCCUCUUAUUGGCUAGCUCUUACAUAUUAAUCUAACCCAUUUCUUAUAAUCUGUGUAGCCCACGAGGUGGCUUACCAGAGAAGAUCUUAAUCUGCGUCUGUCUGGAGUGGGAGAAUCAUGGCGACUCCUGACUCAGCUUCUUUUUCCCAGCAUUCUGUUCUGUUUUCUCCGCCUACCUAAGGAUUGGCCUAUCAAAUGGGCUAAGGCAGUUUCUUUAUGAAUAAGAAAUCACUCCCACAUCAUCCAUACUUCUCUGCAGUAGAUGGAACCAGCCAUCCAGAGCAGCAUCCUCUAAGGAUUCAAAUAUAGCAUCAAAUUCUGCAUCAGAGGUGGCAGAGAAAAACAGCAGAAUGCUCUCCUGGUUACAUUCAUCUGUCCUGAAAAACUGUCCUGCUCCUGUUCCACAGCCAGCGGGAGCUAGUCCCUGCCCAUCUGCGGAGAUAGACCACUUUGGGGCUUCUAAUAAUUCAGAGGAAGUCACUGGCUGAGCCAUAGCAUCCUUUCCUUUCACUAACUGAAUCAUAAAUGCUGUGCACUUGUGCCCAUCUGAGUUCAGUUCUGCAUUAGGUGCAUUUCUUUACCCAAUCACAAGACAGCAGCUUCAAAUGAGCAUUAAAAUGAGUGAAAAUUCAGAAACCAUCUGUAGCAUAUUCUAAUAUCAGGAUGAAUGCAUAAGGAAAAUGUGGCACACAGUAGAAUAUUGCUGUAAAGAAAUAUGAAAUGUGACAUUUACAAGUAAAUACACAGAACUGGAAAAACAAUUACACCGAAAAAGGUCAGCCAAACUCAGGAAGACAAACUAACUCUCUUAUGUGUGGGUGGGUCCUAGUUUUGAGUCUCUGUUUUGUAUGUUUAAGUUGAAGUACAUGUAGAAUCCAGGUUAUCAUGUAUGGACUAUUGAAAGCAGAUACAUUAAGGCGUGGGAAAUAGGAAAAGGUAGGUGCCAUGAAAACAGAGGGGAUACUGAGGCUGGAAAAGGUCAAACAUUGGGGGAGUUGGGGCAGGGGAAAUGAGGGGUGA